rnacentral:tRNA from 1 species
GCUCAGUGGUCGAGCUUUGGCUUUGGAAGCCACAGGUCGGUGGUUUGAUUCCACC